GUGGAACUGAACCUGGGUCCUCGUACUUGCUGACCACCAAUCUCAGCCCUAGAGCUGGAUUCUAAUCCCAGCUCUGCUGAUCUUCUGGACUGAAACUCAGCCUCACACCUCCCUGGAAUGCUGCCUUCCAGAUUCUUGGACAUUCAUUCAAAAGGUGCUCCUAGAGGAUCCUCUGGUCAUUGGGUCACGCGGGAAAACACUGAGGCGCUCUUCCAAUUCUUGGCAAAGGGUUACCCCUUGUCUGUCAGGGAGAUAGAACUUCUGCAUUUGGGGGUCACAUGUCUCCACCCCUUCCAGUCCUACAGGAAGCCAUAGACUUGCUGACAGGCUCUCUUCUCCUCCCCUGACCUCUCUCAAUCAUUCAGAGAAGACAACAGGUCAUCUCUCCUUGAGACAAAAUGGUGGCUCCUUCCUUAGGGGUGAGGUGGGAGAGUGGGGAUGCAGAAAAAAAAAAAACAGGCUUAGUCAGCCAGUGUCUGAUGGGGUUGAUGAGGUGUAAUGGCAGGACUUGUUUGAGGACUAUGAAGCUGUAUGGAGAGAUUUAGAGAGCUACGUGUGAAACUGGAGGUGAUUUUGAUCCCGUUCAAAUCUCCACGUCUGUCCUUCCUCCUGUUCUUUUAACUUAGCGGAACUGCAAAGCUGCAGAAGCUGUUGCCUGCACGGUGCUCAUCUCUUUGUGAGCUGCCAUGGCGGUUGCUUGCUGAGGGACAGACCGAUUUGACGGUCUCACUGCCCCGGCAAGGAACUCGAAGCCUCACUGGAUAUUUAGAUUAGACCUUUGUGAUGUGCAUCAGUGACCUGUGAUGUCUGCUUCUUCCCAAAGCAGAGGCUAGAUUUCACCCUGCUGUGCAUCCUGGAGACUCUGAGACAGACUUGUAUCUGACUUGCGCUCCAGUCAUGCACUUCGCUGCUUCUGGGAGGUGGAGCUGAAUUUAACACCUGCUCCUUUGGAGAGACUUGGAUUCACAUCCAGUGCAUCUCUACAGACUGGGCUUGAGUGAGUUUCGGACCUGUUGCUGACUCUGUGAAGAGCUUCUUGAAGCAGCUGUUUUAUCCCGUUAUUAGUUCAAGUCCCAAAGAAUAAUAGCAGGAACUGUA
rnacentral:sRNA from 1 species